AAUAGAAAGAAAAUAAAAGUCAGAUUCAAGAUGGCGAAAACUAAGAGAAGUCAAUAAGAAAACGAUAACUCUUGGGAGAGUCCAGGAGGGCUGGAGUCCUGGUCCUUGGUCUUGGAAAGACUCGGAGAACUGCUAGGGAGCUGGGAGAGAACUGUGUGGAGCCAUACUGGGAACCUGGACCCAUCUGCAUUUUCACAUAUCCAAAACAGUUCCGUUCCCAAGCCACCCAAAUGUGUGAGCUCUCACUGCAUUUCUGCUUCAUUACUCUUUGAAAUGAAAUAAGGACACAGCUGUACCUCAAUUUAAAUCAGUGAUUGCUCUUCACUCUGAUUCUCUAUGGUGCCUACAAUCUAUGACAAUCAAGCUGUUCCACAUAGAAUGAAUUCUUGCUGCUUUUCUAGGACUGUGCCUCCACUAGAUGGAAAGUUAAGCAUUCCAUCAAAUAAUUGCAAUGGGGAUGGUUGGUGGUUGUGGUUGCUAGUCUUAAUCUACCAUUGAAAUAAACAUUUGGACUGAUUACUCAA
ensembl:lncRNA novel transcript, antisense to FREM1